UAGCCGUGAUGAUCCUUCAGCGAGCUUCGGCUCACUAUCGGAUCGUUUUAGAAACAUCAGUGGCCAACGGUCGUCAGGAUCGUUGAGCUGCAUUGGCGGGAUUUCGCCGACUACGUUUCUCUUUCUUCGCGGACGAACACGCGCUGGGCCUGCAUGGUUGCAGGAUCCCGGUCCUUAACUGGAUAUGCGUUAGGGGCUUGUAGCUCAGUUGGUUAGAGCGCGCGCUUGAUAAGCGUGAGGUCGGAAGUUCAAGUCUUCCCAGGCCCACCACACUCAUCGAGUGAGCAUUCGUCUUCUGGUUACGGGGCCAUAGCUCAGCUGGGAGAGCGCGUGCUUUGCAAGCAUGAGGUCGUCGGUUCGAUCCCGUCUGGCUCCACCAGAUGGUUUGAUUGCCGGCGCAGCUUGCACCUAAAUCGUCCGCGAAACAUCACUUCGCACUUACUAGUCCGGAUGGACAGUGAGCUGCGUGUUUUCUGACAUUGUAAAGAGGAGAUCGAUCCGAGUUGGAUCGUGCAGAGAAUAUCUGCGCGAGACUUCAUUAUCUCCGGAUCAUUUCGGCGCUCACACGCCGUUCAAGGUAGCCCUCGUGGUUGCUGCGAAUGACGAGUGAGUUGUAAAUGAUCCUUUUAGCGAAGCUUGACCGCCUCGCUAUCGGAACGAUCUUACGAAGCAAGCUGGUCUUUCUAAUCAUUGUCCGGCUGCAGAUAGCGUUCAUCGAGGGCGCGUGCCUUAGAGACUUAUGUUUCUUGGCAAUUCUGCAGAGGAACAUUCUGGCCGAGUGUGUGGACAUUGAUAAUGAGAGCAAUCAAGUGCCUUAAGGGUGUUCGGUGGAUGCCUUGGCGCUGAAAGGCGAUGAAGGACGUGCUACGCUGCGAUAAGCCGUGGGGGAGCUGC
rnacentral:misc_RNA from 1 species